UGAACCGAUGGAAGAGGUCGAGUAUGAUGCGAGGAGGUAUCAUUUUGAGGAACACCCUAGUCCUACAAGGGAGAGUAACAGCUUAACAGAAGCUCACAAGCGCAUUGGCAUGCUCCAAGCUUGGAACAAGGCGCAUGAAAAAGUCAUGAAAUCUUGCUUGAAGACUAUCAAGAGUCUGAAGGAGAUGCUCAAUUGCUCUUCUUCAACCAUUGUUGUUACG
rnacentral:pre_miRNA from 1 species